UACGUAGGGCGCAAGCGUUAUCCGGAAUUAUUGGGCGUAAAGAGCUCGUAGGCGGUUUGUCGCGUCUGCCGUGAAAGUCCGGGCUCAACUCCGGAUCUGCGGUGGGUACGGGCAGACUAGAGUGAUGUAGGGGAGACUGGAAUUCCGUGGUGUAGCGGUGAAAUGCGCAGAUAUCAGGAGGACACCGAUGGCGAAGGCAGGUCUCUGGCAUUAACUGACGCUGAGGAGCGAAAGCAUGGGGAGCGAACAGG
rnacentral:rRNA from 1 species